AGUGAACGCUGGCGGUAGGCCUAACACAUGCAAGUCGAACGGCAGCACAGUAAGAGCUUGCUCUUACGGGUGGCGAGUGGCGGACGGGUGAGGAAUACAUCGGAAUCUACUUUUUCGUGGGGGAUAACGUAGGGAAACUUACGCUAAUACCGCAUACGACCUACGGGUGAAAGCAGGGGAUCUUCGGAUCUUGCGCGACUGAAUGAGCCGAUGUCGGAUUAGCUAGUUGGCGGGGUAAAGGCCCACCAAGGUUACGAUCCGUAGCUGGUCAGAGAGGAUGAUCAGCCACACUGGAACUGAGACACGGACCAGACUCCUACGGGGGGCAGCAGUGGGGAAUAUUGGACGAUGGGCGCAAGCCUGAUCCAGCCAUACCGCGUGGGUGAAGAAGGCCUUCAGGUUGUAAAGCCCUUUUAUUAGGAAAGAAAAGCAGCAGGUUAAUACCCCGCUGUUCUGACGGUACCCAAAGAAUAAGCACCGGCUAACUUCGUG
rnacentral:rRNA from 1 species